CUUGAAGUCCAUCUCUUUCAGGAACAUUCUAUCUCCUAAAGACAGUUUCAUCUAAUUUACUAUACAAUACAUUUUUUAAAAGACUCAUUCAAGAACAUCCUUGCCUCAACACCCUCUUUUAACAAUGACCCUGCGGGGAGAAAUUGUGGUGGCUUUCCUCCAGAAUGUCUUGGCAGACCCUAGCUAUACACUGUUACUUGACUGAGGAUUUGGCAUAUGAGUGAAGAGGUAAGUGUUAGAAUCCCAGCGCUCUGCGCCCUCCCUCUUUCUCACCCUAACUGCUCGGCCAUGCUAGGCCUGAGAUUCUGGAAAUGCUUCCUGUAUGAUAACCGAGGCGACAUCUGGGCCAAAUGGAAGGAA